AACCUCCGCAAUGUGAGAAAUCGCGACGGGGGGAUCCCAAGUGCCAUUCUUAACGGGAUGGCUUUUCAUUAGUGUAAAGAGCUUUUGGAAUAAGGGCUGGGCAAGACCGGUGCCAGCCGCCGCGGUAACACCGGCAGCUCUAGUGGUAGCAGUUUUUAUUGGGCCUAAAGCGUCCGUAGCCGGUUUAAUAAGUCUCUGGUGAAAUCCUGUAGCUUAACUGUGGGAAUUGCUGGAGAUACUAUUAGACUUGAGACCGGGAGAGGUUAGAGGUACUCCCAGGGUAGAGGUGAAAUUCUGUAAUCCUGGGAGGACCGCCUGUUGCGAAGGCGUCUAACUGGAACGGUUCUGACGGUGAGGGACGAAAGUUAGGGGCGCGAACCGGAUUAGAUACCCGGGUAGUCCUAACUGUAAACGAUGCGGACUUGGUGUUGGGGUGGCUUUGAGCUGCUCCAGUGCCGAAGGGAGCUGUUAAGUCCGCCGCCUGGGAAGUACGGUCGCAAGACUAAAACUUAAAGGAAGU
rnacentral:rRNA from 1 species